rnacentral:misc_RNA from 1 species
GAUGAAGAACGCAGCGAAAUGCGAUAAGUAAUGUGAAUUGCAGAAUUCAGUGAAUCAUCGAAUCUUUGAACGCACAUUGCGCCCCUUGGUAUUCCGAGGGGCAUGCCUGUUCGAGCGUCAUUAUAACCCCUCAAGCUCAGCUUGGUGUUGGGGCCUGCUGCACUGGCAGCCCUUAAAAUCAGUGGCGGCGCCAUCUGGCUCUAAGCGUAGUAAUUCUUCUCGCUAUGGAGUCCUGGCGGAUGCUUGCCAUCAACCCCCAAUUUUUCUAUGGUUGACCUCGGAUCAGGUAGGGAUACCCGCUGAACUUAAGCAUAUCAAUAAGCGGAGGA